AUUGAACGCUGGCGGCAGGCCUAACACAUGCAAGUCGAACGGUAACAGGAAACAGCUUGCUGUUUCGCUGACGAGUGGCGGACGGGUGAGUAAUGUCUGGGAAACUGUCUGAUGGAGGGGGAUAACUACUGGAAACGGUAGCUAAUACCGCAUAACGUCGCAAGACCAAAGAGGGGGACCCUCGGGCCUCUUGCCAUCGGAUGUGCCCAGAUGGGAUUAGCUUGUUGGUGGGGUAACGGCUCACCAAGGCGACGAUCCCUAGCUGGUCUGAGAGGAUGACCAGCCACACUGGAACUGAGACACGGUCCAGACUCCUACGGGAGGCAGCAGUGGGGAAUAUUGCACAAUGGGCGCAAGCCUGAUGCAGCCAUGCCGCGUGUAUGAAGAAGGCCUUCGGGUUGUAAAGUACUUUCAGCGGGGAGGAAGGGAGUAAAGUUAAUACCUUUGCUCAUUGACGUUACCCGCAGAAGAAGCACCGGCUAACUCCGUG
rnacentral:rRNA from 1 species